UACGUAGGGGCUAGCGUUAUCCAGAAUUACUGGGCGUAAAGGGUGCGUAGGUGGUUUCUUAAGUCAGAGGUGAAAGGCUACGGCUCAACCGUAGUAAGCCUUUGAAACUGGGAAACUUGAGUGCAGGAGAGGAGAGUGGAAUUCCUAGUGUAGCGGUGAAAUGCGUAGAUAUUAGGAGGAACACCAGUUGCGAAGGCGGCUCUCUGGACUGUAACUGACACUGAGGCACGAAAGCGUGGGGAGCAAACAGGAUUAGAUACCCGCGUAGUCCCUGAG
rnacentral:rRNA from 1 species